UUAAAAACAGCUCGUCUUUUCUUUCCAGCGGGAACAUGCUUUCCCCAAAAAUUACAAAACCCCGUUGCACUUGGUUUCCCUCCUAUCCUAUCGAAAAUUCCCACCCACGACCUAAGUUCCUAAUCUCCAUGGCCGGCGUCGCUAUUAAUACUAUCUAUAGCCUCCAAAUCGUCGUCGUUCAGCCACGGCAACUCGCCACCGCUGCCUACGUCCAUUGCUUCUCGUCGUGUUCUACCCGGUCAUCAUCGAUUUAGGUCAAACCCCUGGUAAAAAAUAAGGACUUUUGAUUUAUAGUACCAGGUUGCUGCUUGCGUUGGUUUCUUCUUUGCACUUCCACAUUCCACAAUUUUUUGAGUGAACAGAGAAUAAGUAUACUUAUUUUACCAAGCAAGAUCCCAACAAAUAUCAUCCUUGUAUGCAUGAAUCCACAUGGUUAUGUUCACUUAAUCGAAUUUUUUAGAUUCGGGUAAUUUCUUCACCAAAAUUUUGGUCCCUUGAUCAUCUGUGAAGUUAUCAAGAACGAUGGAUUGAAGAUGUAGGUGGUUUUGUUCUGGUUCUUGGUUGUUUAUGUUGCUAAAAUGGUGGAGUAGCUGAGCAUGUGAUGGUUCAGAACAUAUGCAAACAAGAAGGUGGUCAAUGGUGGUGUUUGGUGGUUGUAGCAAAAAUGAAUGGAGCAGAUAGUGGUAUUUGGCUGUUUGUGUAUGUAGCAAACAUACAGAUUGGAUUGGAUUACAGCUCUAUUGAUCUCUCAAGCACCACAACAGAUUUAUGCAGUGAGUUCUGUAAAAGGCUUAAAGGGUUUCUUGCAACAUGGCAUCCUUCAAGUCCCUAACCUCAUAUCAAUGAACUUCUCAGAUCAAAGGGUUUCUUUUACUGGACAAGGUGACACAGUCCAUGAAGUAGUUAUCUGGAGGCCAAAAAAUUGUAGUAGCUGAGUUGUGUAAUAGUUACCGGUUGGUUGCCCUUCAUGAAGCUUUUUGGUGUUGUAAAUAGCAACAUAUUUUUUAGUUUGACCAAAUUUUUUAUUUUGUUUUAUAGAUGAUGUUUAUUCUAAUAUUUAUUUUUGGAAAAUGAUGUGUUUGUAAUGUGUUAGGCACUUAGUAAUGUAUUUUACAUUUUGUAGUUUAAUGUAAUGAAUUUUUGUUUCA